rnacentral:rRNA from 1 species
UACGGAGGGUGCAAACGUUGCUCGGAAUCAUUGGGCGUAAAGCGCACGUAGGCGGUGCGGUAAGUCGGGAGUGAAAUCCCUCGGCUCAACCGAGGAAGUGCUUUCGAAACUACCGGACUUGAGUAUGGAAGAGGGUCGCGGAAUUCCCGGUGUAGAGGUGAAAUUCGUAGAUAUCGGGAGGAACACCAGCGGCGAAGGCGGCGACCUGGGCCAAUACUGACGCUGAGGUGCGAAAGCGUGGGGAGCAAACAGG